rnacentral:rRNA from 1 species
UCGACUAGGUGUUCGGUGAGGAGACUCAUUGAGUACCGCAGCUAACGCGUGAAGUCGACCGCCUGGGGAGUACGGUCGCAAGAUUAAAACUCAAAGGAAUUGACGGGGACCCGCACAAGCGGUGGAUGAUGUGGAUUAAUUCGAUGCAACGCGAAAAACCUUACCUACCCUUGACAUGUACGGAACCCUGCUGAGAGGUGGGGGUGCUCGAAAGAGAGCCGUAACACAGGUGCUGCAUGGCUGUCGUCAG